AGCCCAAGACGCCUUGCUCAGCCACACCCUCAAGGGUACUCAGCAGUAAUAAACAUUAAGCCAUGAGUGAAAACUUGACUUAGUUAAGGUUAAAAGGGUCGGUAAAAUUCGUGCCAGCCACCGCGGUUAUACGAAAGACCCUAGUUUAUAGGUACGGCGUAAAGGGUGGUUAGGGGACUAAUAAAAUAAAGCCAAAGACCCCCAAAGCCGUCGUACGCCCAUGGGGGCACGAAGCCCAAAUACGAAAGUAGCUUUACCAAAUAACACCCGACCCCACGAAAGCUGGGAAACAAACUGGGAUUAGAUACCCCACUAUGCCCAGCCUUAAACCUUGAUGAAAACUUACAAAACCAUCCGCCUGGGGACUACGAGCACAGCUUAAAACCCAAAGGACUUGGCGGUGCCUCAGACCCACCUAGAGGAGCCUGUUCUAGAACCGAUAACCCCCGUUAAACCUCACCACCUCUUGUUUUCCCCGCCUAUAUACCGCCGUCGUCAGCUUACCCUGUGAAGGCCCAACAGUAAGCAAAAUGGGUUCAACCCAAAACGUCAGGUCGAGGUGUAGCGCACGAGAUGGAAAGAAAUGGGCUACAUUUUCUACCACAGAACACCACGAACGGCACCCUGAAACAUGACGCCUGAAGGAGGAUUUAGUAGUAAAAAGCAAAUAGAGUGUCCUUUUGAAUUAGGCUCUGAGGCGCGCACACACCGCCCGUCACUCUCCCC
rnacentral:rRNA from 1 species